AUUGAACGCUGGCGGCAGGCCUAACACAUGCAAGUCGAGCGGAGCGGCGGACGGGUGAGUAAUGCAUAGGAAUCUGCCUGGUAGUGGGGGAUAACGUCCGGAAACGGUCGCUAAUACCGCAUACUAUCAGAUCAGCCUAGGUCGGAUUAGCUAGUUGGUGGGGUAAAGGCCUACCAAGGCGACGAUCCGUAGCUGGUCUGAGAGGAUGAUCAGUCAAACUGGAACUGAGACACGGUCCAGACUCCUACGGGAGGCAGCAGUGGGGAAGUUUGGACAAUGGGGGAAAGCCUGAUCCAGCCAUGCCGCGUGUGUGAAGAAGGUCUUCGGAUUGUAAAGCACUUUAAGUUGGGAGGCGGUACCAACAGAAUAAGCACCGGCUAACUUCGUGCCAGCAGCCGCGGUAAUUC
rnacentral:rRNA from 1 species